AUUAUAAAAAUGAAAUGAAAAAUGAAUGAAGAGCAAAGAAACGGGGAAUCCGGUGAAAAACCGGAGCUGUCUCGCAACUGUAAGGGGAGUCCGCCUGCCGCAGUCCUUUCACAAAGGGGCAGGGGAACGAGGAACCGAGCCAGGGUGCCGUUUGUAUUUCAUCAUCAAAA
rnacentral:ncRNA from 2 species